AUGUCUAUGAUACACCUGAGUGUGUCUAUGAUACACCUGGGUGUGUCUAUGGCACACUUGGGCACACCUGGGCACACCUGGGCACACCUGGGGGCAUUGGGGACAUACCUGGGCACACCUGGGCACACCCAAAACACACCUGGGGCACACCUGGGCACACCUGAGAUACACCUGGGUGUGUCUAUGAUACACCUGGGCACACCUGGGGUCACCUGGGGUCACCUGGAGCCAUUCAGGUACAUCACAGCCCCAACCCCCGGCCACCAUCUUGAUGACAUCAUCGGUCGCCAUCUUGGUGAUUUCUCGGCCGCCAUAUUGGCCAGGCAGCCGCAGCCAAUCAGAAUCCAGCAGUGGGCAUGGCGGCCAUUUUGGAUCGGUGGCCGCAGCCAAUGGGGGAUCAGGAAUGGCUCGGGAGCCGUUUUGGAUCAGCAGCAGCAGCCAAUCACAGACAAGGAUCGCCCUGGCGGCCAUUUUGGCUGGACAGAGUCAGCCAAUGAGAGACGAUGGUGGCCAUUUUGUCUUGUCUGCGAGUAGCCAAUGAGAGACAAGGAUCACAUUGGCGGCCAUCUUGAUUGGGUGAGAUCAACCAAUGAGAGACAAGGAUCCCUUGGCAGCCAUUUUGUCCAUCUGGAAUCAGCCAAUGAGAGACAAGGAUCACAUUGGCGGCCAUCUUGAUUGGUUAGGCUCAACCAAUGAGAGACAAGGAUCACAUUGGCGGCCAUCUUGAUUGGCUGAGAUCAGCCAAUGAGAGACAAGGAUCACAUUGGCGGCCAUCUUGAUUGGGUGAGAUUAUCCAAUGAGAGACAAGGAUCACAUUGGCGGCCAUUUUGUCCAUCUGGAAUCAACCAAUGGGAGACAAGGAUCACAUUGGCGGCCAUUUUGUCCAUCUGGAAUCAGCCAAUGAGAGACAAGGAUCACCUUGGCGGCCAUCUUGACCGGGCAGGAUCAACCAAUGGGAGACAAGGAUCACCUCGGCGGCCAUUUUGUCCAUCUGGAAUCAGCCAAUGAGAGACAAGGAUCACAUUGGCGGCCAUUUUGUCCAUCUGAAACCUUUUCCCGCCCUUUUGGCCCCGCCCACAUUUCCCAGGGUGCCCCCGUGACCUUUGACCCCGGGGGGGGGGGAGGGUCCCCAAAUUUAGGUGGGGGGAGGGGGGGAGGGGGCGGGGCUUGGGGUGGCUCCGCCCCCCGAAUUUCCGUGGCAAUAAAACGGCUUCGAUAUGUAGCGACCCCCCCCCGAAUAAAUAAUGAAUAAUUAAUUAAUUAAUUAAUUGGGGGGGGGAGGGGUAAAAAAAAGCCAAAAAAAAAAAAUUGGGGGGGUGGGGGGGGAGGGGAAGAUAUGUAAAUAAGAUAUGUAAAUAAGCUGGAUCACGUGACCUCAAUAAAGGAUUUUGAACGGUGCCGGGCCCGAAAUUCCAACUGGGAAUUCCCAAAUUCCAACUGGGAAUGACAAAAUUCCAACUGGGAACCCCAAAAUUCCCUCCGGACCCCCAAAAAUUCCCUCCCCAAGCCCUGGGGAG
rnacentral:lncRNA from 1 species